rnacentral:lncRNA from 1 species
CCAUUGAAAUCUUGGAGUGGGCCCCACAAAACCAAUAACCAAAAAGUUAUAUCCUUACUCACAUAAAGAAAAGAUUGUAACGUUGUCCCUCUGAAGCCCUAACAACGUCAAUCCCAAAAGUCUACUGCCCCAAAACCCCAAACCUUCCUGACCCCAAAAACCCCAAACCUCCUUGACCCCAAAAAGAUUGGGACUUGAAAGUCUGGUCUCUCUUGUAUUUCAUAUGUUUGAGCCGUGAUGGCUUAAAUUUACUAACAAAACCCCUUACAUUCGAAGAGAUGAUUAACAUUAAAAAGGCUUAGAGGAAGAGGUUUCAUAUGUUUGAGCACUGAUGGCUUAAAUUUACUAACAAAAAAAGGGGUCACCCAAACCCCUUACAUUCGAAGAGAUGAUUAACAUUAAAAAGGCUUAGAGGAAGAGGAACCUUGGCCAUCCCUACUUGUUUCCAAGUAGACUUCUUCUAACAUUAUAGCUUUCUCCAUUGGCUCGUCCAUGGCAUCCUCCAAAGCAGACAACUCUGAAGAUGAAGAAGUUCCACUGCUGACUUCCAUAACAGUUUCAUAUGGAAUUGCAAUUCCUUUAGCAGCAUCACCACCAUAAAGAACACCACGAGCCAUAAGUCUUGCUGAAGACCUCAUUGCCUUCACUGAACCUUUACCUUUCAUUGAUUUGCCUUCUUCUUUGUUAGGAGUCUUCCCGUCGGAGGUUAACUGCUCCUUUCCAAGGUCGUCAUCUCCUUCUUUUUAUCAACAACUUUCUUUCCAAAUGAUUUCUUGAAUAUAACAUCAAUCGGUACUUCAUUGUCCACUCCCAUAUCAUUCACUAUUGUAGCAGUCCUGUUCUCCACUGGGUUCUCCUGUACCACCACAAAAUCAGUGUUGAUUUGGACUGCAUCCGGGUAUCCCGAGAUCCAUCAGCUACAAAAUGAAGCAACAGAGGACUAUCAUCUUGACGAACCAGAUUGAGAGGAGGAUGACCUCCACCAAAGCCAUCCUAUGGUUAGGGACGUCCUUUUCAUUUGCCUCGGGAUCCAAUCCCUAAUCCUCCAAAGGCUGAUCCUCCCCCAUCUCAUCAGGUUGAAAUUUGCCAUCUUCCAAUAACAGAGGGUUGUCUAGCUCCACUUGAUCAAUGAAAACUAUAGCCAAAGGAUUAAGAGGGUCAAAAGAAGGCCUCGGAUGAGAUCGACCCUUCCUAGCAACACAAUGAUGCACAAGGGGAUACAUUCUUCCCUGCAACAAAAUCAAGACUUGCAGAACUAGAGAAGAGCAAAGACGAUGCCCUGAAACCAAAAGAGCAAGAAGGAUGAAAAACAAAUCUUUUCCUUUGCAAUCAGGAUACACCGAUGAAGCCCCAUGCAAGGAAUUGCAUCUUUUGGAAAGGCCUGAAGAGACAAUUCCAAGGCAUAGAAAACCGGCAAAAUAAUAGGGGCCGCCAGCUCACCAUUCAAAGCCGCCUUCCUCGGCUCUGAAGACUAUGCUAGAAAUCCCUUUGGCAAAGAUGCGUCGUCAACCCCAUCACUUUUGGCAAGGUUUAUAUUUGCGUUGUACUGUGAGCCCGCAGGAUCACCCGAA